GGGGAUGGGGGGUGGGAUGUGGAGGACAGAGAAAUAACAACAAAAAAAGAAAAAACAGAAAUACACCAAACGUCCUCCCCCACUCUUCCAGCUGAAUGAGAUUUUUAAUAUUUUAUUUAAGGGUGAUGUUUUGAGGAAAGUGAACAUCAUCAGAGAGUGCAAGCGUGAGGAGAGCUGUGUGUGUGGUAUGUGAUAAGCUGAAACCAUACCGAGCCGGGCGGUUUAACUGCUUUACCAGCCAGAUGCAGGGGGUAAAAGGAUGUGGAGCCAGGCGCUAUAUAUACAUAUAUAUGUGUACACACACCCACGGCCCUGCUGCCCGUAGGGACCCGGCCUAGGUGGGCCGUGGCGCAGCUCGCGAGCCGGGUGCUUCCUGCGCUGCGGGCGGCGCUUCCUGAGGGGAGCCGGCAGGGCGAGCGGGGCCCGGCCUCGUUGCCGCGGGGUGCUGGCCGUGGGCUCCGUGCCGGGGUCUUCCCAUAUUGUCCCAGGCUGGGGGCGCCAGGCUCGGCCUGCCUGGGAGACGAUGGUGUUUGCUGCGGUGAUCUCCGCGUUGUGUCAGACGCCGGCAGUAGCGCGGCAGCUACAGGUUUUCAUGUGUUGAAGGUUUUCUUCAGACAAAUAGCAGCGAGGAACCGACUUUGACUUCUUGCUCCUCCCCCUGAGAUCACCAGCAUUUGAGAUUACAUGUGGAUUAAGAGGAAGAGAAAGUAUGAAAUCAAAGGUUGGCACUGCAAUCCCGAUGGGUUGUGCUGUGCCGUAGGGGUGUGUUCGUGGAGACGCUGGGCCUGAGACUUCUCAUACUGGUUUCACAGCGAAGGGAAUUUCCAGGAAUUUCGGUGGAGUGAUCCCUACGUACGUCAGAAGGAUGUGAAUAAGUUGAUUUUCUCCACUCCCACGUGCGUAUGUGGACAUACCAACCUCUAAGAUUUUUCUCUCUCCUUUGUAAGUUUGCUCGAACCUCUGACUACAUGUUUGGAGACCAAUUUCAGAUGAAUUUCUAACAGUUUCCUUUCCCGUGGGAACACCAGUGGUAAGAAACUGCUCCUGGGAAAAGCUUGUUCCAUCACUCAAAAAAAAAAUAAAAAGAAAAAAAAAAAAGAUUGAUUUAAACA
rnacentral:lncRNA from 1 species